rnacentral:rRNA from 1 species
AUGGGAACGCGAAGAACCUUACCUACUCUUGACAUCCAGAGAACUUAGCAGAGAUGCUUUGGUGCCUUCGGGAACUCUGAGACAGGUGCUGCAUGGCUGUCGUCAGCUCGUGUUGUGAAAUGUUGGGUUAAGUCCCGCAACGAGCGCAACCCUUAUCCUUUGUUGCCAGCGAUUCGGUCGGGAACUCAAAGGAGACUGCCAGUGAUAAACUGGAGGAAGGUGGGGAUGACGUCAAGUCAUCAUGGCCCUUACGAGUAGGGCUACACACGUGCUACAAUGGCAUAUACAAAGAGAAGCGACCUCGCGAGAGCAAGCGGACCUCAUAAAGUGCGUCGUAGUCCGGAUUGGAGUCUGCAACUCGACUCCAUGAAGUCGGAAUCGCUAGUAAUCGUAGAUCAGAAUGCUACGGUGAAUACGUUCCCGGGUCUUGUACACACCG